GGGUGAGUAACACGUGGGGAACCUGCCCCAUAGUCUGGGAUACCACUUGGAAACAGGUGCUAAUACCGGAUAAGAAAGCAGAUCGCAUGAUCAGCUUAUAAAAGGCGGCGUAAGCUGUCGCUAUGGGAUGGCCCCGCGGUGCAUUAGCUAGUUGGUAAGGUAACGGCUUACCAAGGCAAUGAUGCAUAGCCGAGUUGAGAGACUGAUCGGCCACAUUGGGACUGAGACACGGCCCAAACUCCUACGGGAGGCAGCAGUAGGGAAUCUUCCACAAUGGACGCAAGUCUGAUGGAGCAACGCCGCGUGAGUGAAGAAGGUUUUCGGAUCGUAAAGCUCUGUUGUUGGUGAAGAAGGAUAGAGGUAGUAACUGGCCUUUAUUUGACGGUAAUCAACCAGAAAGUCACGGCUAACUACGUGCCAGCAGCCGCGGUAAUACGUAGGUGGCAAGCGUUGUCCGGAUUUAUUGGGCGUAAAGCGAGCGCAGGCGGAAGAAUAAGUCUGAUGUGAAAGCCCUCGGCUUAACCGAGGAACUGCAUCGGAAACUGUUUUUCUUGAGUGCAGAAGAGGAGAGUGGAAUUCCAUGUGUAGCGGUGGAAUGCGUAGAUAUAUGGAAGAACACCAGUGGCGAAGGCGACUCUCUGGUCUGCAACUGACGCUGAGGCUCGAAAGCAUGGGUAGCGAACAGGAUUAGAUACCCUGGUAGUCCAUGCCGUAAACGAUGAGUGCUAAGUGUUGGGAGGUUUCCGCCUCUCAGUGCUGCAGCUAACGCAUUAAGCACUCCGCCUGGGGAGUACGACCGCAAGGUUGAAACUCAAAGGAAUUGACGGGGGCCCGCACAAGCGGUGGAGCAUGUGGUUUAAUUCGAAGCAACGCGAAGAACCUUACCAGGUCUUGACAUC
rnacentral:rRNA from 1 species